AUGGCUGCCAAGCUUGGGCAUCUCGCCCGAGCCGCUGCAGCAAUACUCUGCCUGUUGAUUUUCCAUGUAGCACUGUCUGAUUCCCUUGCUAAGGCGAGUGUAUCAGGUGGGACUGGAACCUGCAUCAGCUGGGAGCGGGAUGCGCUUCUGUCCUUCAAGGCAGGCCUUCUCGACCCUGCUGGCCGUCUCUCGUCAUGGCAAGGUGAAGAUUGUUGCCAGUGGGAGGGAGUCCAGUGCAGCAGCAGAACAGGCCAAGUUGUCAGGCUCGACCUCCGCAACACCUACAAAGAUGGCAACAACAAGUACAACAGCCUGAACUUGUCGAGAGAUGAGAUGAGCUCUUCUUUGGCUGAUUUGCAACAGUUGAGGUAUCUUGAUCUGAGUGGGAAUAACUUCAGUCGCACAAGCAUACCUAUGUUUGUGGGCUCUCUGGAGAACCUAAGGUACCUCAACCUCUCAUGGUCAGGCUUUGGUGGGAGAAUACCUUACCAACUCGGCAAUCUCUCAAAUUUGCAAUAUCUUGAUGUUAGAGGGAAUAAUUACUAUUAUCUUGAUAGCAAUUAUUCCAACCUGUAUGUGGUGGAUCUUGCAUGGUUGAAGCAUCUCCCAUUGUUGAGUAAUCUUGACAUGAGCGGUGUGGACCUCAGUUCUGUGAGGGAUUGGUUCAACAUGGUUAACAUGCUUUCUUCUCUGAAAGUGCUUCGCUUAGAAGACUGUGGCCUUACCAGCACGGUGUCUGAUACUUCAAAAGCAAACCUCACACAUCUCGAAGUCCUUGAUCUGUCAGCCAACCUGUUUAACACAUCACUAGAACACAGUUGGUUUUGGGAUCUCACAAGCCUUAAGGAGCUUCACCUCUCCCAGGGCGAGUGGCAUGGACAUAUUCCUCAAGAACUAGGAAACAUGACGUCCCUUGAAGUCAUAGAUUUUAGUAAAACUGAUCUUCUGGGUUUGAUACCAAGUAACUUACAAAAGUUGUGCAAUCUGAAAGUGCUAAAUUUCGAAGAUGUCAACAUUAAUGCAAGCAUUGGGGAGUUUAUGGAUCGAUUUCCUAGGUGCUCAUGGACUACAUUACAAGUGUUGUCAUUAGCGAAUACAAAUUUGACAGGAAACCUACCAAUCUGGAUUGGGAACAUGACCAGUCUCAGUGAUCUUUUAGCCAGAGAAAACAUGAUAACUGGUGGUGUACCACUAGGAAUUGGAGCACUUGGUAACUUGACAGAUUUGGAUCUCGGCUACAAUAAACUUAAUGGUGUGGUCACGAAGGAUCAUUUUUCUGGCUUAUUGAGUUUAGAGUCUCUGGACUUUGAAGGCAACUCCUUGAAAAUUGAUAUUGAACCAAAUUGGGUUGCUCCUUUUAGACUAAAGAGAAUAAACUUACAGUCAUGUUCAGUGGGGCCCCGUUUUCCAGGGUGGCUUAGAUGGCAGACCGACAUGGAUUCUGUUCUUCUUGAUUAUACAAAUUUGGAUGAUGUUAUUCCUGAUUGGUUCUGGGUGACAUUUUCCCGAGCUCAGUACUUGUACGCACGAGGAAAUAUGUUGCGUGGUUCAUUACCGGCAAAUCUACAGCACAUGUCAGCUUUAGCUAUAGCCCUCGGGUCCAAUAACCUUACAGGUCAAGUUCCAUGGCUCCCUAUAAAUAUAUCAUUCUUGGAUUUGUCUUCAAACUCUUUCUCAGGGCUAUUGCCAGUAGAGCUAAAAGCUCCAUGGAUCAUGGAGUUGGAUCUGGCAAAUAAUAAAAUUACAGGCACUAUUCCAUCAUCUAUGUGCCAAUUGACUCGUCUGGUACGGUUGGAUCUAUCAGGGAACAGUUUGACAGGAGAUGUUAUGCAGUGCUGGAAGGAGUCAGAUAACAAUUCUUCAGUGUCCAGCUUAAUCUCUGCAGAUCAAUUUGGUUCCUCAAUGUAUAAUCUAGCUUUGAACAACAAUGAUCUCUCAGGUGAAUUCCCUAAAUUUCUUCAGAGGGCCUCACAAUUGAUGUUCCUGGAUCUUUCAUACAAUAGGUUAUUUGGAUCAUUGCCAAAGUGGUUACCAGAAAAAAUGCCACACUUGGAAAUCUUGAAGUUUAACAGGACAUAUUCCAGAGGAGAUAAGUUUGCUCAUCAGGCUCACCAGUCUGAAUUUAUCAAGUAA
rnacentral:rRNA from 1 species